UGUCAACCCAAAGAAGAAGAGAAAAGUUCUCAUGGACACACAAAAGAAAGGCUGUCCAGCAACAUUGGAUGUUAAGUGUGUCAGGAUAUUCCCAGAUUAUGCGAUAAACUCGGCAACAGACAGUUCAAAAAAAAGAGUACUCUGUGUUCUUGUGCCACAUUUAAAAGCAGCAUUCAGAUCAGCUUAUUUGGUUCUUUUGUAUUGCAUGGGAGCAAUGGACAAGCCACAAGCAAAAUUUACAAAAGAGUUGCAGUUGCAGAUCACCUUGGCAACAUCAAGGUGACACAGCUGUCUUCUCCCAGCAGCGAGAGGCAAUGUUGUGAUCAUUCCUCUGAACCUCCUUCUCUCGUGGAAAGUGUAAUUGACACACAAUGCACACCCAGGUGCGGUAGUCCCUACCGUUACAAAUAAGUUUGCUGUGGCACAUUACCUGGUUGUGUAUCAUCAAGUCAAGACCGUAUCAGUCCAAGGGAAAAUAUAAUGAACACAAAUGAGUGCUCAGUUUCAGACAAAUGGCUGAAUUUUCCAGGUUUUCUGUACAGUGAACAAAUUACCACAUGGAGACAAAAGUUGCUGCAGAAGUGGCCUUCGUGUUCAAGUAAGACAGAAAGGCAAAUUUCUGAUUUUUUUUUUUAUCAUGAUGCUAUUACACCAUCCUCAGGAUAAGAUGUAGCUAGAGCACACAUUCUCAAAGUCUGUUAAUGUUUAUAGUGCUGUAGGUCAGGUUUAUGACCUGCCUUGCUAAUUCCCGUGCAUCUUGCUCCUCUGAUGAAGUUGAGCUUCUGGGAUUGUCACGGCCUUGGUUUACUGCCUCCUCACUGCUGGUAUCCUCUGAACUUUGUAAUACAGGACUGGCAGAUUCAGACCAACUGCUGCUUGAGCCAAACCCAAAGGUCCCAUCGAGACAAAUGAAAGGGCUGUUCUUGUAACUGUCAUUCAACUUAUGAAAGUCCCAGCCAGGGUAAUAAAUGAAAAUUGCGCAGAAAUGUUUGCAUGGAAGUCUUCACAUGUGCAAUUAGGCUUUGCAGAAUUCACCACAUAGUAACAAUCCUUGGCCUCAGCACAUUCUACACAAAAUAAUCCCUCGCCCAUUUAUUUCACUGAGCUUUCGGUAAGUCCAGUUUGCGCUGAAGAAUAUAUUUUCAUUACGUGAUUCACAAAUUUGUGUGACUUGUUAUGCAAGAAGUGAGGAAUCUCUCUGCUGUAAGAUUUCACAGCUGAAUUCUUCAGACAAUAUUUUUUAAACAGGCUAGGGAGGAAAUCAUUUAUUAAAACUUUAACAACACCUGUCAGUGUUAUAUCUGCUGAAUGUCUAAGAAAAAAUGUUUUACUCUUUUAUUUAGUGAUUCAACACCAUUAGUAGUAGUAGUUAUAUUGGCGAAGAAAUUCUCCUUGUCCUCAUAGGCCUUCACCCACCUUUCAGACACUGAAAGCCAUUGCUUAUUAAAAUAAUAAAGUGCACCAGAAUUUCUAGUUAACAAUUCAUGAAAUUGAAGGUUUUGUUUUGCAGUUAAGAAUUGUUCUUCAGAUGGUGACUCUACAAUUUCUUCCCACAGCUUCAGAAUUUGCUCACUAUCUCCCGGUACAUCUAAAUUGUUCUUUUUGCUAAGCCACCAUUGCCAGGCUUGCUUUCGAUGAAAUAAACAAAGAUAAACCCUUGACAUUGGAAAUGUUCCUUUAAUUGCCCAUAUCUCAGGCUCAGAGAAAUCUGUAACCCAUGAAACUGGAUUCCAAUCUGGGUUCCGUGCCUUGAAAAUUUCUAGAGCCUCUUUAAUUGAAGCAGUGUUUUCUACUUGAAUGAAGAAUAUCCCACCUACUAAAUAGCAUACAUUAGCUCUCACUACCAAGAAAAAUAACGGAAUGUCAUACUUCAUUGUCUUGUAUGUUGCAUCAAGCAAACAUACCCUAAACCCUACCAUACCUUUUCAAAAGUUCCCUUUGCUACUUGUGCUGGUAACAAAAAAGCAAUGGCUGCACUUUUCCAUUGUCAUCUCUAAACAGUCUGAACAAAAUCUCUCAGCCUUCGAUUCCGUUUCCCACCCAUUAAUUUGAUUC